rnacentral:tRNA from 1 species
CAAAACGUAGCUUAAUUGGCAAAAGCAAAGGGUUUUUAUCCUUUCUGACCUUGAUGCCGGUUCGACUCCGGCCGUUUUGC